CUGGUAAAGGAAACCCUCCCCCCACAAAGCUCUGGAGAGCCGCUUUAGAGAAAUGACACCACAGCCAGGUAACAAUGAGACAUAUACAGCUUUAUUUAACCUGUAAAAAGUCACACUCUGCAGAGUGACACCUUUCUUAUCUCAGCAGAAAGCAAGGAGUGUGUGAAAAACCUUUUCCUCAGGUUGGGAACCGUAUGACCCUGGCUGGGCUCACAUGUGGAUCCUUCCAGAGUCCUUGUGUGUGGCAGCUUCUUCCCAGAGGGUCUCCCUGGCUGGUGUGACCCCUCACCAACAACAGACAGGGGGGCAAAAUAUUUCUACCUGGACAAGGCUGCCCUGAGAUUGUCCCUUUCCCUCCUAUUAAGGGACAUUACAUGCUUAAGACCUUCCCAGAAAAGUCACCUUCAAGGUGACUUGGCUUUCAUCAUGUCUGCUGACACUUAGGCUCCACUUAUUUACCAUGAUGGUGUGUGCUAACGGUCCUUCCUCUUCCCCAAUAAAACCCUCACCAUCGAUGGCAUUUUCAAAUAUCACUCUGUUCUCUGGGACCGAGGGAUGGAGAACCGCUCUCCCUCAGACCAGGAGGCACUUCCUGCUGAUGCCUGGGUGUCUGGUAAGUGGACUCAGAUGCUACAGGGACAGCACUUUCUCUCUGUAGAGCGAAGCCUGGCGCUUUGCUUUCCAUCUUUCUCGGCUAACCGAGGGCUUAGGCCACUUCUCUGGAGAAAACUCCACAGUGUACCAGACAUCACUCACAGGCUUCAGAUCCCUCCCUCUGACUUACACGAUGACAGGUAUGAAUCCACGUGGACAGGGGAGGUGACUGCCACCCUGCCUGCCUAUCUGUGUAAUCGUUACCUCACCAGUGGCCCACACAGUAACUAUAGCCUCACAUAUUCCUCAGACCUGCUCUCUCCUGAAAUCACUCUACAAAUAUUGUUAGUUGUCCAAGUGGAACCAAAAUCCAAUCUUGUGGCCUAUCCCACCCAGAUAUCCACUCUGCAUAUUUCCCUUAAAAAUGCCACUGAGAAUUCAAAAAAGUCCCUUUGCAGAAGCACUACAAGAAAGCAUGUCUAAAAUCACAGAACUAUGCACACACAGACACAGACACGCGUGCUCGCACACACAUGGAGUUGGGAAUUAAAGAGUCUCGUCAGAUACAUAUUUGAGGGAGCGCAGGGAAAGGCUGGCAAGAGAAGAUAUGGAGAUCGGAUCAGAUCAAGGUGUUGGAAUGUUACAGUAAUGGCAUGGGUGUGGUUCUCGGUACAUACAAAAGGGCAGAGAGAAUGAUAAUCCAGCCUACUAGAGAG
ensembl:lncRNA